rnacentral:rRNA from 1 species
AUUGAACGCUGGCGGCAGGCCUAACACAUGCAAGUCGAACGAGUGGCGGACGGGUGAGUAAUGUCUGGGAAACUGCCCGAUGGAGGGGGAUAACUACAGGAAACGGUAGCUAAUACCGCAUACAAUCGGAUGUGCCCAGAUGGGGUUGGAUUGUAGGUGAGGUAACGGCUCACCUCGGCGACGAUCCCGGGAUGGGCUGAGAGGAGGACGAGCCACACUGGCACUGUGCCACGGUCCAGACUCCUACGGGGGUCAGCAGUGGGGAAUAUGGCACAAUGGGCGCAAGCCUGAUGCAGCAAUGCCGCUUGUAUGAAGAAGGCCUUCGGGUUGUAAAGCACUUGCAGCGGGGAGGCGUUACCCGCCGAAGAAGCACCGGCUAACUCCGUGCCAGCAGACGCGGUAAUUC